CCUACGGGAGGCAGCAGUGGGGGAUAUUGCACAAUGGGGGGAACCCUGAUGCAGCGACGCCGCGUGGGUGAAGGAGUGCUUCGGCAUGUAAAGCCCUAUCGGCAGGGAAGAAGCAAGACGGUACCUGACUAAGAAGCCCCGGCUAACUACGUGCCAGCAGCCGCGGUAAUACGUAGGGGGCCAGCGUUAUCCGGAUUCACUGGGUGGAAAGGGAGCGUAGACGGCCGUGCAAGCCAGGGGUGAAAGCCCGGGGCCCAACCCCGGGACUGCCCUUGGAACUGCAUGGCUGGAGUGCGGGAGAGGCAGGCGGAAUUCCUGGUGUAGCGGUGAAAUGCGUAGAUAUCAGGAGGAACACCGGCGGCGAAGGCGGCCUGCUGGACCACGACUGACGUUGAGGCGCGAAAGCGUGGGGAGCGAACAGGAUUAGAUACCCUUGUAGUC
rnacentral:rRNA from 1 species